UACGGGGGGGGCAAGCGUUGUUCGGAAUUACUGGGCGUAAAGGGCCAGUAGGCGGCCAACUAAGUCCGACGUGAAAUCCCAAGGCUUAACCUUGGAACUGCGUCGGAUACUGGAUGGCUUGAAUUCGGGAGAGGGAUGCAGAAUUCCAGGUGUAGCGGUGAAAUGCGUAGAUAUCUGGAGGAAUACCGGUGGCGAAGGCGGCAUCCUGGACCGACAUUGACGCUGAAAGGCGAAAGCUAGGGGAGCAAACGGG
rnacentral:rRNA from 1 species